rnacentral:tRNA from 1 species
GCAUUGGUGGUUCAGCGGUAGAAUUCCCGCCUGCCACGCGGGAGGCCCGGGUUCGAUUCCCGGCCAAUGCA